UACAUAAGGCCAAAGGGCCAGGCCUUUAGAACCUGCCUCGCUCAGUUAACCAGGUGUGGAUGUGAGCUGCUGCCCCGGGAGGGGCGUGACCUCAGGUAAUGAGCUCUCUGCAGCUGAAGUAUAUAAUGAGGUUGCCGAGAGCUGGAGGCCGCUUGCAGAUUUCAGUGGAUGCCUCUGGCAGCGGCUCCUUUCUUGAAGAGGAUCCUGGCGGGAACCUCCAAGUCCGGCAAAGGAAGUAUCAGUGUUGAAUUUUAAACUCUAGAAGGAACAGAAUAUAAUGCACCAAGUGGUAAAUGCUUUGAAGAAGCAACAGAUGUAGUUCUAAAAGAAGUUGUGUCAAGUUUUACCAUGACUUUUUGGAGAGAAUUUGCUGAGCAUCUUAGCUAUUCUAGGAGUCCUGCCUCUUCAUCAGAAAAACCAAGUUUUCCCCAGCAGCCUAUUGUAACUUCUAAUUCUACAUCAUUGAAUAAAUCUGUGUCAUAUGGCUCUUCUUGGUGCAAGGGAAACUAGAGAGUAAAGAAUAUUUUCUAGUGAUGAUAAAAUUGGAAGGGAGAAUGCCUUAAUUCUAUAUCAGCCAUGGAGUUCUCUAAGGACUGGUUAUAUAGGCUAUUCCAUGUAGAUCAAUACUUGGCUUAUGUACGACACUGAAACUGGGAAAUCUACCAACUGAUUUAGCUAAAGCGCUUUCCUUCUGGGACUGAGUCAUGGAACCAACAACUAUGGCUUGGAGCUGAAGGACGGCAUUGUCUGAAGGCUGGAGAAAUCACAGUGGAUUACUUACUAUUUGAAGUAGAAAAGAACAAUAGGGAUGUAUUCAGCAGAAAACAUUAAUUAAAAAACAUUGGGCUUUAGUCACUAUAUGUGUAUGUACAUAUACAUAUAUGGUAUACAUUUCUCAUGGUGAUCAAACACUAAAUAGAUUUCUGAUAUUACAAAAUGAGAGUUCACUUAUGGAUAAUUGGAAAGGAAAUGAAAAAAUAAAUGAGAUUUCAUGAAUAUACUGAGAAUAACUUGCAGUCAGAAAAAUAAAUCGGCAUGUAGAUAUAUAUGCCAUAAUGCAAUUUCAUUUUCAAUCAGCCAAAAGUAAUUGAUAAAAUUAGUUAUAGUGAAAGUAAGUCUUAAUGAUAAUACCCUUUGUAUUCACAAUGAAUUAAUGAUCACUGGAGAUAUCUACAAGUAAUUCUGAAGACUUUCAUAAUACGUAGCAAAAUUUUGGUCAUGUUUUAGAAAUGAAAAAAAAAAAAAAAAAAACCAGUGACAGA